rnacentral:piRNA from 1 species
UUACAUUGAGAGAUGAUUUUGGGUCC